CUACCAAGACAGUGACGGUUGACGGGGAAUCAGGGUUUGAUACCGGAGAGGGAGCCUGAGAGAUAGCUCCCACGUCCAUGGACGGCAGCAGGCGCGAAAAUUGCCCACUCUUUGUAGGAGGCAGUUAUGAGACGUGAAAUUGAAUAUUUUGUAAAGAAGAGUAGGAGAAUUGGAGGGCAAGUUUGGUGCCAGCCGCCGCGGUAAUACCGACUCCAAGAGUGUGUAUGAGAGAUGCUGCAGUUAAAAAGUCCGUAGUCAUAGAAAGAUAAAUAGGGAUAAGAAAUCUCUUAAAUUAGUUAUAGAAAAACCGAUGGGGAACAUAGUAUACCAGGGCGAGAGAUGAAAUGCCAAGACCCCUGGUGGACUAAGCGAGGCGAAAGCGAUGUUCUUGUAGGUAUUUGAUGAUCAAGGACGAAGGCUGGAGUAUCGAAAGUGAUUAGAUACCGCAGUAGUUCCAGCAGUAAAAGAUGCC
rnacentral:rRNA from 1 species